ACGAUUCCUCUUCCCAUCAAGUCAGAAGCCCCUCGUUUCCUACGCAGCGAGCAACAGCCCUCUCCUAGUUCUUACUCCAUAGAACUCUAUUUAAUCCACCGAUCGGUGGAUAAUCCACCACCAUAUUUUUCUUUGUUUUCUCCAUCUCCCUUCAAUCCAUUCCAUAGCUUUUAUUUUCAGUUUCUCUCAUCCCUCUUUUCUCAUAUCAUAUUGUAACCCUAAUAAUCAAUCUCACACCAAAAAGCUCACAAAUUGUCUUUGUCUUUGAGAUUGACGGUGACCAAGAGGGGAGUAGCAUGAGAAAUUGAAAAGAUGUACAUGAAUCAGGUGGAGGGACAGAGUGGAGUUUCUCAAAUUUUAGUUUCAACACAGCUAGCCUGAAUAAAGCUCUGCAAGAUUGAGGCUUUUUUAUAUAAGCUUUAACCAGAUGGUGCAAAGGAAAUCAACCAGCUAUUUGUGUAUUUGAUAAAGGGAAAGCAUCGAAUAUUUGCACAUUGUAAUGGGGUGUGGAUCUCUUAGUGGCUGCCUGUUUGGGAGGAAGAAGGCUCCAGGCAGAUUUUGGACCUGUCCAAAUUUACUGCAACCAUUUCAUAUGUUGUUUUCAAAGCUGCUUUUGUGAUCCAGAUUAGUAUUUUGAACAAAUA